GGCCCCCUGCACAAAAGGGGAUGCGAAGCCAAAGGGGUAAGCAGAGGAAGCCCGCAAACUACAGAAACUAAAUCGCGUUCACAAACUGCCCAAGCCCGCAGCCGAGCGAAAGCGCGUGCGGAGGACCCCCGCCCCCCACCCACCCACCCACCCUCCAGGCCCGGGAUCGCGGCGGACGGCGGGCGCCCCUCUCGCAGCCCCACCGCCUGCUCCCUCCUAAGUCCCCGGGCCCCGAGUCUGCCCCAACUCCAGCAUCCGUGCGCCCCGCGCUCUCGGCACUGCGGUGGGGAAAGACCAGAAGGGCGGGAGAGGGGGGCACUGGCAGGCCCCGGGUGGUCUCGCCCGUGUCCUCGGGCCAGCCGGAAGGCUCCCUGGAGUCAGGAAAGGAACAAUAGCGGACCCUGGGUGUCCGGAGCCACUUGGGGGCCCCCGGCGCGGGCAGCCCUCCGCAGCUCCUCCAAGUUCAGCCGGGAGGCGGGUCGAGCCCAGAAGCAAGGACAGCGGCGGCGGAGCCGGAGGAGGCAGGUGGGACGGGCGCGGCUGGCCAGCGGCACGAAGUGCCCUCCCGGGGUCUGGCCAUUCAUUCUCACCCGCACACUCUCGGCUGCGACCCCUGCCCAACGCCCUGCGCAGCCGGCCGGCAGGUCGCGGGGACCCGGGGCUCCGAACUUGGCUGGGUCUCCCCCUCUCUCCGGGUCCUCGCCAUCCUCCCUGCCUCUCGGACCACGGGGUGGCGGCGGGACCCUCGCUCCCGCCCUGCGAGCCGCGCGUCCCCGCGCAGUCCCCAGCGCCCUCGCCGCCUCUCCCGCCUGCGCCCCAGACACAAAGGCGGGGAACGGAGCGCGGGAUCCGCGCCGGGAGCCUCCCAAGUCUCCGCGCAGCGCACUCACCCCAUCAAGGCGGCCGCGCCGGCUGCCCGGGCUCCGCUGGCUGCGCCGCCCCGCCCGCCUCUUCCCCAGGAAAACGCGGCCGCCGGGCUCGCUUCCUGCUCGGCUUCCUGCGACUCGGUCCCUCCUCCUCCUCCCCCGCUGCGGGGGUCAGCGGGCGCCGUGGCUCCCGGGCUGGGCCGGCGGGGCGGGGGCAGCGGCAGCAGGACCACGUGGCCGCAAGGCGCCGGCCCCCGCCGACCUGGAUCCCGCGGGCGCGGGAAGGGAGGUGCUAACCAUUCCCCUCCCCUUCCACCCGCACGGCCCCAAAUUCCGCGAGUCAGGUGACCCGGGCCCGCGCUCCGGCCAGGACCUGCGGGAGGUGGCCCGGCCCGCCCGGCCCGGCUGGGCCCGCGCGCCUGGCGCCACCGUGGCGUCCGUGACUUGCUUUUCUUUUUCUUUUCUGCGGACCGUGGGACCCUUCCCCGCAGAUCUACUUUGUCGAAUGAACCUCAAGUUAGUGGAAACCUCCUGUGCCGAGACCCCUGGGUUUAGGACGGAUGCGACCUCAGAUCGCAUUCCCUCCUGA
rnacentral:lncRNA from 1 species